rnacentral:rRNA from 1 species
UACGGGGGGGGCAAGCGUUGUUCGGAAUUACUGGGCGUAAAGGGCUCGUAGGCGGCCAACUAAGUCGGAUGUGAAAUCCCCAGGCUUAACCUGGGAACUGCAUCCGAUACUGGAUGGCUUGAAUCCGGGAGAGGGAUGCGGAAUUCCAGGUGUAGCGGUGAAAUGCGUAGAUAUCUGGAGGAACACCGGUGGCGAAGGCGGCAUCCUGGACCGGCAUUGACGCUGAGGAGCGAAAGCGUGGGAGCGAACAGG